UACGUAGGGGGCAAGCGUUAUCCGGAUUUACUGGGUGUAAAGGGAGCGUAGGCGGCGACGCAAGUCAGAAGUGAAAGCCCGGGGCUCAACUCCGGGACUGCUUUUGAAACUGCGUUGCUAGAUUGCGGGAGAGGCAAGUGGAAUUCCUAGUGUAGCGGUGAAAUGCGUAGAUAUCAGGAGGAACACCGGCGGCGAAGGCGGCCUGCUGGACCGCGACUGACGUUGAGGCUCGAAAGCGUGGGGAGCGAACAGG
rnacentral:rRNA from 1 species